ACUUAGUGGCGGACGGGUGAGUAACGCGUGGGUAACCUGGCCCAUACAGGGGGAUAACACUUAGAAAUAGGUGCUAAUACCGCAUAGCAACAGAAAGCGCAUGCUUUUUGUUUGAAAACCAAGGUGGUAUGGGAUGGACCCGCGUCUGAUUAGCUGGUUGGCGGGGUAAAGGCCCACCAAGGCGACGAUCAGUAGCCGGCCUGAGAGGGUGGACGGCCACAUUGGGACUGAGACACGGCCCAAACUCCUACGGAAGGCAGCAG
rnacentral:rRNA from 1 species